rnacentral:misc_RNA from 1 species
CUCCUAAAGCCUUUCACUCUCUGUCUCUGUUUGUCUGUCUGUUUCUCUACAAGAGAUUUACUCUUAUGGACAUGGAGAUUGAUUUCAAACACUACAAAUUGAGCUCCGAGCUUCGAGGUCACGAAGACGACGUUCGUGGUAUAUGUAUAUGUGGCGAUACUGGCAUUGCGACUUCAUCUAGAGACCGGACUGUGAGGUUUUGGUCUCUUGACCCAUCAGACAAGUGCAAGUAUGCAUCAUCAAAAAUUUUGUUGGGACAUUCAAGUUUUGUAGGUCCAUUGGCUUGGAUUCCACCAAAUGAAGAGUACCCAGAAGGUGGGAUUGUCUCUGGUGGCAUGGAUACACUGGUUUUGGUGUGGAACUCGAGUACUGGAGACAAGGUGCAGGUUUUGAGGGGCCAUCAGUUGCAAGUCACUGGCAUUGCAUUGGAUAAUGGGGACAUUGUGUCAUCCUCUGUUGAUUGUACUUUGAGACGAUGGAGGAAAGGCCAGGGUAUCGAGUCUUGGGAGGCUCAUAAGUCAGCUAUACAGGCAGUGAUAAAGCUGCCUUCUGGUGAGCUUGUUACAGGUUCAAGUGACACAACUUUAAAACUUUGGAGAGGGAGGACAUGUUUGCAUACUUUUGUGG